UAGUACGAGAGGACCGGGAUGGACGUACCUCUGGUGCACCAGUUGUCGUGCCAACGGCACAGCUGGGCAGCUAAGUACGGAUCGGAUAAACGCUGAAGGCAUCUAAGCGUGAAGCCGGCCUCAAGAUAAGAUAUGCCACUGAGUAAUCAGGUAAGACCCCUUGAAGACUACAAGGUUGAUAGGCCGCAUGUGGAAGCGUCGUGAGGCGUGCAGCAAGGCGGUACUAAUCGGUCGAGGGCUUGACCA
rnacentral:rRNA from 1 species